rnacentral:piRNA from 1 species
GUUGAUGCAGAGAAUUCUGGACC